GAUGAACGCUGGCGGCGUGCCUAAUACAUGCAAGUCGAGCGAACGGACGAGAAGCUUGCUUCUCUGAUGUUAGCGGCGGACGUGUGAGUAACACGUGGAUAACCUACCUAUAAGACUGGGAUAACUUCGGUAAACCGUAGCUAAUACCGGAUGAUAUUUUGAACCGCAUGGUUCAAAAGUUAAAGACGUUCUUGCUGUCACUUACAGAUGGAUCCGCGCUGCAUUAGCUAGUUGGUAAGGUAACGGCUUACCAAGGCAACGAUGCAUAGCCGACCUGAGAGGGUGAUCGGCCACACUGGAACUGAGACACGGUCCAGACUCCUACGGGAGGCAGCAGUAGGGAAUCUUCCGCAAUGGGCGAAAGCCUGACGGAGCAACGCCGCGUGAGUGAUGAAGGUCUUCGGAUCGUAAAACUCUGUUAUUAGGGAAGAACAUAUGUGUAAGUAACUGUGCACAUCUUGACGGUACCUAAUCAGAAAGCCACGGCUAACUACGUG
rnacentral:rRNA from 1 species